GUUUCAUCUAAGAUGUGUAACUUGCAGAUUUCCCUUUACUGGCUUUAAUUUAAUGAUUUACAUUUGCAAAUUUACAUUUUAGGUAGACUAAAUUAUGUUCCGGGGUAGUUAAAUCGCUUGAGAUUGCCCAUUAUUGCCUUUAGUUUAAUGAUCAACAGCUGCCUGUUUAAUCAACUUAUUUUGUUUUUGUUAUGCCUAUGAAAAAUCAAAUCUGAUCUGUGUUUUAAGGCCCUGCAGCCCUGCACCAGUCUUAUUAUGCCAUGUUUGUGAAGAAGCGUGCUCAUGCUCGUUUGUGGAGCAUUGCGGCAUAUCUGUAUUUCCAGCUUGUUUAUUAAGUUCUGGCGCCAUCAUCAAUAUAUGAUCCACUCAGUAGCUGACUUGAUUCACCUUAGACCUUGAAAAUUUACAAAAAGAACUCAUAUUUAUAAAAAUGUGAUCUGAGACCUGUUGUCUGCUUCAUCGGCCAUAGGCUAUAGCUGAAAAAAGAAGGCAACUGGUGGCGGAAGAAACAACAUCCAAGAGUGGGCAAUUUACUUUCCUGAAUUGAUUCAAUCUAAGCACAAGUACAGUAGCUGCCCUGUUAAGGAGAAUGUGAAGCUCUAUGCUAACAAAUUUUAAUUUACUCAGUUAGCCAGGAGCUGAGAUGCAACUCCAUAGAGACUGUAAGCCAAAUUAAAGUUGCAGGGAAGUAGGGAAUUCAUAGUAGUUGUUGAAGACUUUAUAUGUUUUCACAGCAGUUGAAGACCUUAGUUAAAGACCUUAGUUGAAGACCUUAUCUGUUCUGUUUGAGC